CCGCGCCAACACUCACGGGGAGCACAGAUAGGUAUUUCUCCCAAUGGACAGAAGUUUGAUGGAGACAGCGCGGUGAGGUGAGAAGGUUUCGCUCGUAAACUUCUUUGUUAAAGAAAGAACUAAAUCUUGAGGAGUAACUGUUCAGGUCUUGCCGUAUUUAACCAGAUAGCCACGCCUACUCCGUGCCAGCCAGCCGCGUAUACGUAGGUGCCAAGCGUCUUCCGAUUUAUUGGCGUAAAAGCGAGCGCCAGGCGGUUUUUUAAGUCUGAUGUGAAAGCCCUUCGGCUCAACCGAAGAAGUGCAUCGGAAACUGGGAACUUGAGUGCAGAAGAGGACAGUGGAACUCCAUGUGUAGCGGUGAAAUGCGUAGAUAUAUGGAAGAACACCAGUGGCGAAGGCGGCUGUCUGGUCUGUAACUGACGCUGAGGCUCGAAAGUAUGGGUAGCAAACAGGAUUAGAUACCCUGGUAGUCCAUACCGUAAACGAUGAAUGCUAAGUGUUGGAGGGUUUCCGCCCUUCAGUGCUGCAGCUAACGCAUUAAGCAUUCCGCCUGGGGAGUACGGCCGCAAGGCUGAAACUCAAAGGAAUUGACGGGGGCCCGCACAAGCGGUGGAGCAUGUGGUUUAAUUCGAAGCUACGCGAAGAACCUUACCAGGUCUUGACAUACUAUGCAAAUCUAAGAGAUUAGACGUUCCCUUCGGGGACAUGGAUACAGGUGGUGCAUGGUUGUCGUCAGCUCGUGUCGUGAGAUGUUGGGUUAAGUCCCGCAACGAGCGCAACCCUUAUUAUCAGUUGCCAGCAUUAAGUUGGGCACUCUGGUGAGACUGCCGGUGACAAACCGGAGGAAGGUGGGGAUGACGUCAAAUCAUCAUGCCCCUUAUGACCUGGGCUACACACGUGCUACAAUGGAUGGUACAACGAGUUGCGAACUCGCGAGAGUAAGCUAAUCUCUUAAAGCCAUUCUCAGUUCGGAUUGUAGGCUGCAACUCGCCUACAUGAAGUCGGAAUCGCUAGUAAUCGCGGAUCAGCAUGCCGCGGUGAAUACGUUCCCGGGCCUUGUACACACCGCCCGUCACACCAUGAGAGUUUGUAACACCCAAAGUCGGUGGGGUAACCUUUUAGGAACCAGCCGCCUAAGGUGACAGAGAAGGUG
rnacentral:rRNA from 1 species